CCUACGGGUGACAGCAGUAGGGAAUUUUGCGCAAUGGGCGAAAGCCUGACGCAGCAACGCCGCGUGAUCGAGACGCCCUUCGGGGUGUAAAGAUCUGUCAGUGGGGACGAAACUUGACGGUACCCACAGAGGAAGCACCGGCUAACUCCGUGCCAGCAGCCGCGGUAAUACGGGGGGUGCCAGCGUUGUCCGGAAUCAUUGGGCGUAAAGCGUUCGUAGGCGGCUGGUAAAGUCUGGUGUUAAAGUAAGAGGCUCAACUUCUGUACGGCACUGGAGACUGGCGGGCUAGAAUGCGGUAGAGGUAAAGGGAAUGCCUGGUGUAGCGGUGAAAUGCUUAGAUAUCAGGAGGAACAUCGGUGGCGUAGGCGGGUUACUGGGCCGUAAUUGACGCUGAGGAACGAAAGCCAGGGUAGCAAAUGGGAUUAGAUACCCCGGUAGUC
rnacentral:rRNA from 1 species